rnacentral:lncRNA from 1 species
UCUGUAUUGCUUCAGCUCAGUAAAGCUGAUAUGAAUCAUAGAAUUGUAGUGUCAUAGAAUGUUUUGGGUUGAAAGGGAUCUUUAAGAUCAACUAAUUCCAACCCCCUGCUACAGACAGGGACACCUCCCUCUAGACCAGGUUGCUCACAGCCCCAUCCAGCGUGAGCUUGAAUGCUUCCAGGGAGGGGGCAUCCGCAACCUUGUUUGGCAACAUAUUCCAGUGUCUCACCGCCCUCAAGGAAUAAUAGGCCUUCUUCCUACUGACAUGGAUUCUCAGAUGGAUCAGUAAUUCAUGUGGCAUUAUCAUCCUGUGAAGAGAAGCCUUGGAAGAGCAAAACAUUGAAACAGAUAAAAGACCUGGAAGAUCCUGUUAUCCUGUCUUUGGCAAGCAAUGGUAUUGCAUCCCAGGUGAUUUUAAGCUAACAGACUGUCCGCCAGAAGUUGAACAAUAUCAUCUGUCACUUCAAAGCGCUCUUGUGUACGACUUAUCUUACCCUGGCAGAAAGAGGUUCAUUGGGAACUAAAAUGGGCAAGACAUGCAAAGACAGUAGUGAAACAAGCCAAGGAAGGAAUUGUUCAGAAUGGACAACUAAUGCUCAUUUGCAGUGCUUUGCCCAACUCAACAGUUUUGGCACAAGACAUGGACUUGAAGCAUGAGUUGUCCAUCUCUGGGCAAGGGACCUGAUGUUGCACAAAAGAAAUAAAGAAUUCAUUCAAGGGCAUCCAACAGUGUAACGAGAUAAUUACUCUGUCAAAACCAACAGGUAAAGGUGGGGGAAACAUAAAUGAAACAUAUCCUCACAUUAAAUACGUUUUUGUUCCCAAAAUCGUGUUGAAAGUGCUUUACCUAGAAUCAUACUAAUGAACAAACCAAGAAAUUGAUUCAUUGGAAAACUUAGAUGCUUAAUUUCAAACUUUGAGAUGCCAGAAAAUAAUCACUUCCUAAAGAAGUUUAGUGGAUGUCAGCAAAAAAUAUUUGCUUCCUUUUGACAGCAUUUUAACUCUACUUCAAUAGCUGAUUUAACUUCAAUCUGCUGCUAUAAUAUGUUUCAGCACUUUCUUGGUUUAAAGUAUUGGAGUGUCAGUGCUGUGCAAUUUAUCCAGAUUUUUCUCUAACACACAAUUAAAUUGCCCAGCAAUUAUGUAAGUAUAACAUUUUCUGAAGUUCCUUUAAAAAAAUACAAGAGAAAUGCAUGAUUACCCGUAUUGGUGACAUGUAUAGUAAGAUUAAUAGGAGUAAAGGCAAAACUAUUAGUGGUAUAAUUGGCAACAGAAAAUCUUCCAUUUUUAUUGGUAAAUGUUUGAUAUGUUUUAUAAAUCAAAACACUUCUAAUCAAAAUUGUUGUUCCACAUAUUUUUGGGCGAACUGAAGAAUGUAAAAUUUGAUUAAUUCACCUCUUUUUACUGUAUGUGUUAUCAGCUGACAAUGAAUGUGUUGCAAAAAAAAAAAAAAAAGACAAAUUGUAUUUCUUUGUCUUUUUUAUAAAUUUGCUAUAUUUAUCCAUGUCAGUCCUUAAUGACAAUCCAUAUUGCUUUAGCUUGUCACCCAGAGUAAAUUUCACAAAUAUUCUUUAGGACUACUGCCAAUCAAAUAAUGUUAUACAAUUGCAGAUACUUAUUUAUUUAUAUUCUAUAGCAUCAUUUCAUACAUGUUACCAUUAAAAUAAUUAAAUGGCUUUUUGACUCACUGAAUUAAAGGUAAUAACAACAGAUUAAAAAAGAAUAAAGAAUACAAGCUUAUAAAAUUUAUUGUAAUUUAUUCAACAGAUGCUGCCCAAGAUGAUGAUGUGCUUAACUAGUUACAAAUGGGAAGUUUUAAGAGAGUUGUAAAUAUUCUGAAUUCAGAUUUUAAUAUUUUAAUAAUUAUUAUUAAAAAAAAAAAAAAGAAAAGUAGAAAGUACAAGAGAAGAACAUUAGACUUCACACAGAAUGUUCUUUCUUUCCUGAGUUACUCAGCCAAAACCAUCCCUAAGAGAGAAAGAGCAGACUUAGAAAAAUCUCAGGAAGAAAAAAAUAUUUUUUCUUCCCUUUUCUUCUUAUCACAUUAAUGAUUUG